AGUCGAACGAGAAAGUGGAGCAAUCCAUGAGUAAAGUGGCGCACGGGUGAGUAACACGUGACUAACCUACCCUUGAGUGGGGGAUAACCUCGGGAAACCGGGGCUAAUACCGCAUAAAAUCGAGAGAUCAAAGGAGCAAUUCGCUUAAGGAGGGGGUCGCGGCUGAUUAGCUAGUUGGUGAGGUAAUGGCUCACCAAGGCUAUGAUCAGUAUCCGGCCUGAGAGGGCGCACGGACACACUGGAACUGAAACACGGUCCAGACUCCUACGGGAGGCAGCAGUGGGGAAUUUUGCGCAAUGGGGGAAACCCUGACGCAGCAACGCCGCGUGGAGGAUGAAGUCCCUUGGGACGUAAACUCCUUUCGAUCGGGACGAUAAUGACGGUACCGGAAGAAGAAGCCCCGGCUAACUUCGUGCCACA
rnacentral:rRNA from 1 species